rnacentral:rRNA from 1 species
AUUGAACGCUGGCGGCAUGCCUUACUCAUGCAAGUCGAACGGUAACAGGUCUUCGGAUGCUGACGAGUGGCGAACGGGUGAGUAAUACAUCGGAACGUGCCUAGUAGUGGGGGAUAACUACUCGAAAGAGUGGCUAAUACCGCAUGAGAUCUACGGAUGAAGGCAGGGGAUCGCAAGACCUUGUGCUACUAGAGCGGCCGAUGGCAGAUUAGGUAGUUGGUGGGAUAAAAGCUUACCAAGCCGACGAUCUGUAGCUGGUCUGAGAGGACGAUCAGCCACACUGGGACUGAGACACGGCCCAGACUCCUACGGGAGGCAGCAGUGGGGAAUUUUGGACAAUGGGCGCAAGCCUGAUCCAGCAAUGCCGCGUGCAGGAUGAAGGCCUUCGGGUUGUAAACUGCUUUUGUACGGAACGAAAAGCCCUGGGUUAAUACCCUGGGGUCAUGACGGUACCGUAAGAAUAAGCACCGGCUAACUACGUGCCAGCCGCCGCGGUAAUAC